UUUCCGAAGGUGAACCUGCGGAAGGAUCAUUAUUGUAUAACCGAGGUGCGAGGGCUGUCGCUGACCCGAAAGGUCGUGCACGCCCGAGUGCCCUCACACACAUCCAUCUCACCCCUAUGUGCACCACCGCGUGGGUCCCCCUUUGGCUUGUUCGGAGGGGGGCUUACGUUUUCACACAAACUUUGUAUGCAGUGUAGAAUGUAUUUUUUGUUUUUGCGAUCACGCAAUCAAUACAACUUUCAACAAUGGAUCUCUUGGCUCUC
rnacentral:misc_RNA from 1 species